rnacentral:rRNA from 1 species
AGAGUUUGAUCCUGGCUCACGAUGAACGCUGUCGGCGUGCUUAACACAUGCAAGUCGAACGAAGCACCUGGAUUUGAUUCUUCGGAUGAAGAUCCUUGUGACUGAGUGGCGGACGGGUGAGUAACGCGUGGGUAACCUGCCUCAUACAGGGGGAUAACAGUUAGAAAUGACUGCUAAUACCGCAUAAGACCACAGGGUCGCAUGACCUGGUGGGAAAAACUCCGGUGGUAUGAGAUGGACCCGCGUCUGAUUAGGUAGUUGGUGGGGUAACGGCCUACCAAGCCGACGAUCAGUAGCCGACCUGAGAGGGUGACCGGCCACAUUGGGACUGAGACACGGCCCAAACUCCUACGGGAGGCAGCAGUGGGGAAUAUUGCACAAUGGGGGAAACCCUGAUGCAGCAACGCCGCGUGAGCGAAGAAGUAUUUCGGUAUGUAAAGCUCUAUCAGCAGGGAAGAAAAUGACGGUACCUGACUAACAAGCACCGGCUAAAUACGUGCCAGCAGCCGCGGUAAUACGUAUGGUGCAAGCGUUAUCCGGAUUUACUGGGUGUAAAGGGAGCGUAGACGGCUGUGUAAGUCUGAAGUGAAAGCCCGGGGCUCAACCCCGGGACUGCUUUGGAAACUAUGCAGCUAGAGUGUCGGAGACGUACGUGGAAUCCCCAGUGUAGCGGGUGAAAUGCGUAAAUAUUGGGAGGACCACCAGUGUCGAAGACGGCUUAGUGGACGAUGACUGACGUUGAGGCUCGAAAGCGUGGCGAGCAAACAGGAUUAGAUACCAUGGUAGUCCACGCCGUAAACGAUGACUACUAGGUGUCGGGGAGCAAAGCUCUUCGGUGCCGCAGCAGACGUAAUAAGUAGUCCACCUGGGGAGUACGUUCGCAAGAAUGAAACUCAAAGGAAUUGACGGGGACCCGCACAAGCGGUGGAGCAUGUGGUUUAAUUCGAAGCAACGCGAAGAACCUUACCUGCUCUUGACAUCCCGGUGACCGGCAUGUAAUGAUGCCUUUUCUUCGGAACACCGGUGACAGGUGGUGCAUGGUUGUCGUCAGCUCGUGUCGUGAGAUGUUGGGUUAAGUCCCGCAACGAGCGCAACCCUUAUCUUCAGUAGCCAGCAUUUGAGGUGGGCACUCUGGAGAGACUGCCAGGGAUAACCUGGAGGAAGGUGGGGAUGACGUCAAAUCAUCAUGCCCCUUAUGAGCAGGGCUACACACGUGCUACAAUGGCGUAAACAAAGGGAAGCAAACCUGUGAGGGUAAGCAAAUCUCAAAAAUAACGUCUCAGUUCGGAUUGUAGUCUGCAACUCGACUACAUGAAGCUGGAAUCGCUAGUAAUCGCGAAUCAGCAUGUCGCGGUGAAUACGUUCCCGGGUCAUUGUACACACCGCCCGUC